UGCUCAUCGACUGUGACACGUGCACCACACUAAUGAAUGAUUUUGUUAAUGGGCAAAGUGGGGGGGUGGCUGGGGUAAAUGGGAAUCCCUUAUAUUUCCGAUGUAACAUUUAUGUAAUGUAAAGCUUCUCUUAAAAUAAUAGUAAUUAAAAAGGAAAUCAAAAUUUAAAAACAUAAAAUGAUGCUUUCUCUUGACGCAGGGCCUUGGGGAGCUGAAGGAGAACGUGUGGUGGAAAGGCUUUGGGAGCAGCAGGGAUGGCCGCGGUAGGGGCGGGGCUUCUGCGGGCACAGGGCUAAGCGCUGCGGUUGGUGAGAAGACGCCUGCUGCUCUGGGGAGGUCUGGGUGAGACUCAGGGAACCACCCUGCUCCAGCUCCUGUCCCACCCAGAUCCCCGGCUUCCUCCUUGGCCCCAAACUCCCAGCUGCCUGUGGCUCACCGCCUGCUUCCCUGGCUCCUCAAGCAUGUCCAGUCGGGUCGGAAAGGCCAGCUAGACCAAGAGGAGUCGUUGUGGCCCCCGGGGGCCUUCCCUGAGCAGGGACCUUCCGGAGCAUGCCCUGUGGAGGGCCUGCUGCUUCCCAGGAUGGUGGAAGACGAGGAAUGAGGAAAUCCCGUUUCAUUUCAAGGAGCAACAAGCGACCUUUGCCUCCCCGGCUUGCCACCUGGCCCCCGUCCCCACCCCCAGGGAGGGAGGAGAGGCCGGUUUCACUUUUCUUCCUGGUUAUUUUCACUUUCAUGCUCCC
rnacentral:lncRNA from 1 species